CUGAUUGGCCGCUGGACGAUGUCUGCUCCUAACAGAGGCCUAAAUCACUAGUUAACUAUUUUCAUCAUGGAAAUUAUACAGCUCACGUAUCACACUUAAUAUUGAAUAUAUAUAAAAAGGGUUUUCCAAAAGGACCAUUUAUAAUCGAAAUACAAAACUUCACACACGAUUUUGAGCACAACAGAGCGCUCAGUGAACAGCACUUCCGGGACCUGCAUCACCGGAGGGGGACAUCUAUCUUGGCCACAAACCAUCUUUGACAGUCUUCGGCAGCAUGGUUGAAUCAGGCGCAUCAACACAUGAUAUAGACAUCGUGCCCAAAAGAAGAGCGAGACGUAAUCCUGAGGCUGAAGCUACCGAGUUUAUUUGAUCUGGAUGUGACAAGUCUUGUUUUAAGGCCCAGUGGAUCAAUGAUUGGAAAGACACCAACUGUUGAUGUUCUAUCUCAACAUUCUCCAGACUCAUGUGACCGAUAAACCGACUUCAUCCCUCCAACAGACACCAACUGUUGGGGUUCUAUCUCAACAUUCUCCAGAUUCAGAUGUGAGCGAUAAACCGACUUCAUCCCUCCAACAGACACCAACUGUUGGGGUUCUAUCUCAACAUUCUCCAGAUUCAGAUGUGAGCGAUAAACCGACUUCAUCCCUCCAACAGAAACCAACUGUUGAGGUUCCAUCUCAACAUUCUCCAGAUUCAGAUGUGAGCCAUUAACUGACUUCAUCCCUCCAACAGAAACCAACUGUUGAGGUUCUAUCUCAACAUUCUCUAGAUUCAGAUGACAGCCAUAAACCGACUUCAUCCCUCCAACAGAUUGACAGCAGGACAAAUCGCUGGAAGUAGGUAUGUCUCAAGCUUCUUCCACUUGGUCCACUCCAAAGCGGGCUGCAAAGGGGAAGAAGUGGAAGCAGUUGAAUGACACAUGUUGCAUUUUGUAACUGGCAACAAAGUACCAGGUAAAAAAGAUUGUGAAGCCUCCCUCCAUAAAGAACUAGUAGCUCUACAGGACAGAGAUUGGCUUGCCAUCAAGUACUACAUCCAUAACAGAAUUAUAUUAAAAAAAGGGGAAAAAAAUGUUUUCCCACAUCUUCUGUGGUAGUUUGAGUAUGUUACCAGCAAUUAAAAAAGCAAAAUAAA